CAAACAAGUUAAAACUAUUUUUUUAUCUACAAGAUCUCCAUUGAAGUGAUGCUGAUGAUUGAUUUCAGGAUUAUACUAGAUAAGAAAAGUUCGAUAAAGAUCGAACGAUAAAGUAACGUGACUCGGAGUGCUUCUAAGUUAUUUCUUUACUUGUGGAUGAUCAAAUUUUAUCACGUGUGCAAUUAAAACCCCAGAGUCUUGAUAAUGUGUUUGGUAUACUUAACAUUUAUCACAGUUAUUCAAUUGGUAUGUUGUUGUGUGUUGAUGUAACUAUUCGUCCGAAAAUAUAGCAAUUAAGAGGAAAUUUUUGCGAUUUUCCUUUAGCAUUUUCUUUUUCAUAGACAUAGUUUAAGCGUGUUUUUAAUAAGUUCUUGCUUAAUAUAUGUGCAUGUUUUCCAGAUGCUGAGUCUUGCAUUACAAGUGAUAAACACAAUUUGGCGGAGUGGAUAGUUCGACUGAAAGACUCGAUUCAAAAAGACAAAGUAAUGGUGGAUGAAAACCUUGAAACGAUAGGUAACCAAUUGAAACGGACAGACUUGUGUAACGAUGCUUUGGCUAAUUUGAGGAUGUAUAAAACUCUCCUGGAAAACGAGCUUCUUAACCUCACAGCCGCUGUGAUGCAAAUGUCAACGGAAGAGGAGAGGUUGAGGGUUUCAUUGCGAGAAGAACGGAAAGCGGUGAAAAAUCUAACUCGGCAUGUAGAUGAGUAUUUAAGCGCAAAAAAUAAUUAUAGUAACGAGCUGAACCAUUUGAAAGAGGAGAAUAUAAAGCUUGAAAUGCAGCUGGAAAAUCAAACGGCUGAAAUGAGUUUUCAGAAAAUCGUAGACGUGCACUCUGGUAUGAAUGUGAUAGAGCUUGUAUUUCGAGAGCUCUUCGGAGAAAAGGAGAGAGUCAAUCAGUGGAGCAAAUUUUUUCAGACAGUGCAAGCGAUAGUUCAUCAGAAGAACGCAAACACAGCAGCUGAUGAGCAUCUGAAAAACUGAAAAAAACUUUGAAAUCCCCCCCUGAAAGAAUAUUGAAGGACCUAGAAACCUAUUUUCACUCUCCGGAAGAGUUCGGACAAACUGUGGACCAGCUUCAUAAAAAACUGUCCGAUGAUAUCCAAUCUCACCGUGUAGGCAAACCCUUUACAGAUGAAAAACUGCCAAAAUUAAUACGUGUAUCACUCCAGAUAAUUCUCGAUGCGUUUCUCCUAGACUAACAAAUUAGUGGAAAUUAGUUCAAUACAAAUUAAUCCUAAAAGGCCCUUCAUUUCCAGUUCUUGAAAUAUAAGUCAUUAUUAUUGUUUAAGCAAGACGACCAUUAUACUAACAUAACUUCAACUCCAAAUGAAUCACACUCAUCUGAAGAGGAACUGAGAAUUUCGAUGAAAAACCCUCUUCAGGAACGAAAGUUUUUCCUUUGUCAUCCGAGGGCUAUGGAGUGUUAAUCGUUUAACUACAAAAGCCUCCACAGCCACAGCCGUAUAAAAUUUCAUUAGUGUAUAUUAAUUUUAAAAUGAUUUCAUUAAACUUUCUGACGCCAAAUUUGAUUGUUAACUUCAUUCAUAUAUUUCCCCCGAAAUGUUGUCAAAUCGUGCCAAAAAGCACGGUUUAACAUUUUUGGCACAAUUUGACAACUUGUGGGUGGUCUAUUUUGUUCAAAGAAUGUAAAUUGCAUGUCACUUAUUUAUCAACAUUGGAAUCUAAAUGUAUUUAACCAUUGAAUGAUAGCCUUUGCAUACCCCAUUUUCUGAGCUUUCAUUCCAAAUCUAUUUUUUUUUAGACUUGGUUUGGUUGGUUAGUUAAUUUACGACGAUCAGCAACCA
rnacentral:lncRNA from 1 species